AGACCCGAAACCCGGUGAUCUAGCCAUGGGCAGGUUGAAGGUUGGGUAACACUAACUGGAGGACCGAACCGACUAAUGUUGAAAAAUUAGCGGAUGACCUGUGGCUGGGGGUGAAAGGCCAAUCAAACCGGGAGAUAGCUGGUUCUCCCCGAAAGCUAUUUAGGUAGCGCCUCGUGAAUUCAUCUCCGGGGGUAGAGCACUGUUUCGGCUAGGGGGCCAUCCCGGCUUACCAACCCGAUGCAAACUGCGAAUACCGGAGAAUGUUAUCACGGGAGACACACGGCGGGUGCUAACGUCCGUCGUGAAGAGGGAAACAACCCAGACCGCCAGCUAAGGUCCCAAAGUCAUGGUUAAGUGGGAAACGAUGUGGGAAGGCCCAGACAGCCAGGAUGUUGGCUUAGAAGCAGCCAUCAUUUAAAGAAAGCGUAAUAGCUCACUGGUCGAGUCGGCCUGCGCGGAAGAUGUAACGGGGCUAAACCAUGCACCGAAGCUGCGGCAGCGACACUCAGGUGUUGUUGGGUAGGGGAGCGUUCUGUAAGCCUGUGAAGGUGGCCUGUGAGGGUUGCUGGAGGUAUCAGAAGUGCGAAUGCUGACAUAAGUAACGAUAAAGCGGGUGAAAAGCCCGCUCGCCGGAAGACCAAGGGUUCCUGUCCAACGUUAAUCGGGGCAGGGUGAGUCGACCCCUAAGGCGAGGCCGAAAGGCGUAGUCGAUGGGAAACGGGUUAAUAU
rnacentral:rRNA from 1 species